rnacentral:rRNA from 1 species
AUGUUUUAUUUUAUUUUUAGAUUUAGGCAUAGAACCUUUCGAGGUCAACUAAGAUGUGGAAAGCCCUCGCAAAAAGGAAAAAGAAAAACUGAGAUGUGGAAAGAGAUUCCAAUGUUCCAUGGCAUGGCACCACAUGAAACUCAUUUUUCCUUAUCCAGAACCAGCCAACCUUCAGGCUACGCUGGAUUAAAAAAUGUGUUCUUUUAUACAAGAAGCAAGAAGCAAUCAAGGUUGUGUAGUGAACAAGUUGAGAGCAAGAUACCAAUUGCUAGUUAUCCAUAUAUGGCAAAAUCAGCACAACCUUUUGGAGCCGAGCCUAUAAAAGGGGAGCCACCCGGCCAGCAGUAA